rnacentral:rRNA from 1 species
UACGAAGGGGGCUAGCGUUGUUCGGAAUUACUGGGCGUAAAGCGCGCGCAGGUGGUCUUUCAAGUCAGUGGUGAAAGCCCGGAGCUCAACUCCGGAAAUGCCAUUGAAACUGUCAGACUUGAGGAUGAGAGAGGUGAGUGGAAUUCCCAGUGUAGAGGUGAAAUUCGUAGAUAUUGGGAAGAACACCAGUGGCGAAGGCGGCUCACUGGCUCAUUACUGACGCUCAGGCGCGAUAGCGUGGGGAUCAAACAGG